GAUGAAGAACGCAGCGAAAUGCGAUAAGUAAUGUGAAUUGCAGAAUUCAGUGAACCAUCGAAUCUUUGAACGCACAUUGCGCCCGGCAGUAAUCUGCCGGGCAUGCCUGUCCGAGCGUCAUUUCUCCCCUCGAGCGCAGCUUUCCCCCCCGGGGGAGGGCCGCGCCCGGUGUUGGGGCGCUAUGGAGGAGCCCAGCGCUCCCCCGUAGGCCCCGAAAUGUAGUGGCGGUCCCGCCGCGGCGCCCCCUGCGUAGUAGUUUUACAACUCGCAUCGGGUCCCGGCGGAGGCCAGCCGUCAAACCCCCCAACUUCAAUAGUUUGACCUCGGAUCAGGUAGGGUUACCCGCUGAACUUAAGCAUAUCAAUAAGCGGAGGA
rnacentral:misc_RNA from 1 species